GUAAAGGUUUCUGGCAUCCCAGGGCAGGUCAUAAAAAGCACCGUGGCUUCCUCCUUUCUCCCUCUGGGUUCCGUUCAGUCUGCGGAGAAGCCAAAUGCCAUGUCAUGACACUCCGGUGACCCUGGUGAAGUCUCCGUGGGGACCGAGGCCUCCCACCAACAACCAUGUGAGGGAAUCGUGGCUCCCAGAGGUCAACGCGCCAAGAUAUCAGCAGAGCAACUGGCAAAGGCAGCGGGUACUCUCGGAAAAAGAAAUCUGUGACCUGCAAUAUAUUUCCGUGAAAGAACUCACAUCUGGUUCCGAUUAGCUCUGGAGUCUGUUGGCCGACUUAGCACAGGAGCGUUUUCUGGAAGUCAGCUCUGUGUCUCUGGGAUUUUGUUUUCACCCACAGGCACAGUGCACACCUUGUUCCAACACAAAGGCAUUAACUGUGAACAUGACCCUCAAAACAUGGCGGCGCGAACCAGAGAGAGACCUUACAGCGUCAGAACCCCGUCCCGGAGGACUGAGCCAGCCAAGUCUGAAGGCAAGGGCAGAACGGAUGGAGAGUUCCAGAAGAGCUCCACAGACUCUUUGACAUUUGAACCUUCAUUCACAAGAAAGACCAAGAGCAGCUUUGAUGAAGACAGCGGCGCCCCUCAGCCUCGUUCUGGGAAAGAGGACAGACUCAAAGCCCUGGGAUGUGUUUGCUUUCGUCAUGAGCAAGAUGGCGGGAUCUAUAACGGGCAUCUCCUGGGAUGGUUUGAUCUCUUCUCUCGAGAUGAUAAGA